rnacentral:rRNA from 1 species
ACCAAGGCGACGAUCAGUAGGGGUUCUGAGAGGAAGGUCCCCCACAUUGGAACUGAGACACGGUCCAAACUCCUACGGGAGGCAGCAGUGAGGAAUAUUGGUCAAUGGGCGAGAGCCUGAACCAGCCAAGUAGCGUGCAGGAUGACGGCCCUAUGGGUUGUAAACUGCUUUUAUAGGGGAAUAAAAUGAUCCACGUGUGGUUUUUUGCAUGUACCCUAUGAAUAAGGACCGGCUAAUUCCGUGCCAGCAGCCGCGGUAAUACGGAAGGUCCGGGCGUUAUCCGGAUUUAUUGGGUUUAAAGGGAGCGUAGGCCGGAGAUUAAGCGUGUUGUGAAAUGUAGAUGCUCAACAUCUGCACUGCAGCGCGAACUGGUUUCCUUGAGUACGCAUAAAGUGGGCGGAAUUCGUGGUGUAGCGGUGAAAUGCUUAGAUAUCACGAAGAACUCCGAUUGCGAAGGCAGCUCACUGGGGCGCAACUGACGCUGAAGCUCGAAAGCGCGGGUAUCGAACAGGAUUAGAUACCCUGGUAGUCCGCGCGGUAAACGAUGGAUGCCCGCUGUUGGGCCAACUGGUUCAGCGGCCAAGCGAAAGCAUUAAGCAUCCCACCUGGGGAGUACGCCGGCAACGGUGAAACUCAAAGGAAUUGACGGGGACCCGCACAAGCGGAGGAACAUGUGGUUUAAUUCGAUGAUACGCGAGGAACCUUACCCGGGCUUGAAUUGCAGAGGAAGGAUUUGGAGACAAUGACGCCCUUCGGGGCCUCUGUGAAGGUGCUGCAUGGUUGUCGUCAGCUCGUGCCGUGAGGUGUCGGCUUAAGUGCCAUAACGAGCGCAACCCCUCUCCAUAGUUGCCAUCAGGUUAAGCUGGGCACUCUGUGGACACUGCCACCGUAAGGUGUGAGGAAGGUGGGGAUGACGUCAAAUCAGCACGGCCCUUACGUCCGGGGCUACACACGUGUUACAAUGGCAGGUACAGAGAGCCGGUCGUAUGCAAAUACGAUCCAAUCCUUAAAGCCUGUCUCAGUUCGGGCUGGGGUCUGCAACCCGACCCCACGAAGCUGGAUUCGCUAGUAAUCGCGCAUCAGCCAUGGCGCGGUGAAUACGUUCCCGGGCCUUGUACACACCGCCCGUCAAGCCAUGAAAGCCGGGGGCGCCUGAAGUCCGUGACCGCAAGGAUCGGCCUAGGGCGAAACUGGUAAUUGGGGCUAAGUCGUAACAAGGUA